CACCUUUCAAGCGAGUGGCGAACGGGUGAGUAACACGUGGAUAACCUGCCUCAAGGCUGGGGAUAACAUUUGGAAACAGAUGCUAAUACCGCAUAAAACCUAGCACCGCAUGGUGCAAGGUUGAAAGAUGGUUUCGGCUAUCACUUUAGGAUGGUCCCGCGGUGCAUUAGCUAGUUGGUAAGGUAAUGGCUUACCAAGGCGAUGAUGCAUAGCCGAGUUGAGAGACUGAUCGGCCACAAUGGGACUGAGACACGGCCCAGACUCC
rnacentral:rRNA from 1 species